UCCCCUGCCCACCUCAUUCACCAGCUACAAAAUUGCCUAUACUUGACUGCAUUUGUAUACCUGAUACGUGUUUUCUGUUCUGUUAGGCAUUUGACUGAGGACAGUGAUUUGAGGCAGAGCACCUUCCCUUGCCCUUUUGACAGCUGGAUGCACAACUGCUUGGAAAUUAAUGUGAAUAAUCUCAUCUCUGGGAAACUCAGGAGCAUCAGAUCCAUUUCCUUGAAAAUUGGUCACAACUGGUAUUCAGCCUAGACUGGAUCUGCUGACAGAUUUACUUAAAACAGAAGAACUGUGGAACAGGACCAAAGCAGAGCAAGAUGAUAUGUUAAGAAGAUGCAGUUUGCAUUUCCCAGACUGCAGAACAAACCCAGAUACCACACUAGAGAGCUUUGACACUAAGGAGUUUUUCUGGGGGCAGAAAAUGUUAAAGUUACUCAAAUAAAAUCAAACAAUUAUAUUAAGUA